CGUCGGAAGCGCUUUUCUGGAUUUACCAUCAUUAGGAACGCUAAGAGUUCAGAAUAUUUGUAAGCCAAGGGUAUGUAAGAACCAAAACAGUUGUAAAAAGUAUGAUUAUGAACUCUAACAUGUCUAAGAUAGAUACUAUUUGUGAGAAUAGAGAUGUUAGAAUGUCAGAUAGACAGACUAUUUCCAUAACAAAUAAUCCUAGUGUAAAUAUGUCAGCAC
rnacentral:lncRNA from 1 species